ensembl:misc_RNA Metazoa_SRP Metazoan signal recognition particle RNA
GCCAGGUGUGGUGGUGCACACCUGUAAUCCCAGCUACUCAGGAGGCUGAGGCAGGAGAAUCACUUGAACCCUGGAGGCGGAGAUUGCAGUGAGGCGAGAUCAUGCCACUGCAAUCCAGCCUGAGUGACAGAGUGAGACUCCGUCUCAA